rnacentral:rRNA from 1 species
CACGUAUUUAGCCGGACCUUAUUCUUACGGUACUGUCAUUUUCAUCCCGUAAAAAAGAUUUUUACAACCCGAAGGCCUUCUAAAUCACGCGGCGUCGCUGCAUCAGGGUUUCCCCCAUUGUGCAAAAUUCCCCACUGCUGCCUCCCGUAGGAGUUUGGGCCGUGUCUCAGUCCCAAUGUGGCCGUACACUCUCUCAAGCCGGCUACUGAUCGUCGCCUUGGUGAGCUUUUAUCUCACCAACUAGCUAAUCAGACGCAAGUCCAUCUUACACCGAUAAAUCUUUGGUCACUCUAUCAUGCGAUAAAUUGACUUUAUAGGGUAUUAUUCUUCGUUUCCAAAGGCUAUCCCCUUGUGUAAGGCAGAUUACUCACGUGUUACUCACCCGUUCGCCACUAAUCCACUUAAAAUCAUUCCGAAGAAAUCAACUAAGUUUCAUCGUUCGACUUGCAUGUGUUAUGCACGCCGCCAGCGUUUAUCCUGAGCCAGGAUCAAACUCU